rnacentral:siRNA from 1 species
UCGGUUGAUGUUUAAGUAAUUG